rnacentral:rRNA from 1 species
CCUACGGGUGGCAGCAGUAGGGAAUAUUUCUCAAUGGGGGAAACCCUGAAGCAGCAACGCCGCGUGGAGGAUUAAGGUUUUCGGAUUGUAAACUCCUUUUGUUAGAGAAGAUAAUUACGGUAUCUAACGUCUACGCCCCGGCCAACUCCGUUCCAACAGCCGCGGUCAUACGGAGGGUGCAAGCGUUACUCGGAAUCACUGGGCGUAAAGGGCGCGUAGGCGGGAGAGCAAGUCAGAUGUGAAAUCCUAUGGCCUAACCAUAGAACUGCAGUUGAAACUGGUAGUCUAGAGUAUGGGAGAGGUAGGUGGAAUUCUUGGUGUAGGGGUAAAAUCCGUAGAGAUCAAGAGGAAUACUCAUUGCGAAGGCGACAUGCUAGAACAUAACUGACGCUGAUGCGCGAAAGCGUGGGGAGCAAACAGGAUUAGAUACCCUUGUAGUC